CUGCCACAACGGCUUCCUGACGUGGCGGUUUUUUCAAUAUUGGAGCA
rnacentral:ncRNA from 1 species